rnacentral:lncRNA from 1 species
UCGGCGACCGACGGGAGUCGAACGGGCAGAGCGGAAACUGGAGGAAGGGCCGUGAGUGUUGGUCGAUCGUGGCUCACUGUGCUGUGUGCGCACAGUUUGCUCGUGGGAUUCGCGGAUUUGCCUCGUGGGAGGUAAAGGCCGAUUCUUCCUUUGUGGGUCGACGGGACGAGCGCAGUCGUGGUGGAAAGGUGUAGAAAAAUUUGGGUUAAGGAUUAUUUAUUCGAGUCGCGAGCGGUUUAAGGUUGGAUGAAGGGAGGUAGGAAGGGGGGAGGAUGUUAAAUUGCUUAUUGCUCGAGUAAACGGGAGCCAAAUGAUGUAUUUUUAUGCCAAUUUUUAUGUUUGUUUUGGAAUCUAAAAUUGAGCUUCGAGAAUGAGCUUCGUAUUACUUCGAACGUAUUAAUAUCCUGUUUAUUAGAGAUAUCCACUUUCUAUCUAGGUUAAAAUGGUCUCGUAAUUUGUUGCUGUCUCCACCAUUGUCCUUUGUAUAUUCUUCCGGAAAAUUGUUAUAUGCGAUUUUCUUUCCAGAGUUCUGGGGAUCUUGGAUACGAUUUAUACAUCGAACGAUUCGAUGAGAUACUAUUUCUAGCAGGGAUUUUUAAGUAGAGUCAGAAAUUUCGUAUCUAGGAUCAAUGUGCAUAACGCAUUCCUCCUCGUUGAUAUAAAAAACAAAAAUGAUAAAAUCGGUUCAGUUUUUCUAUCCCGUAUAUUCUAUCUUCGUCUGAAAUUCUCUAGAUUUCGAUUCUAGAUUUUAAAUUGCUCGUUUCUAAGAUAAUUCACGGCUACCAUACCGUUUCGACUACCGUCACUUUGACUUCCGUUCAUCACGUUUCAUAAUACAUUCGAGGGGGGAUUCGUCGAUCGCGUCGUUCGCAAAGGGGCCGUCUCAUCGAAUACUUGACGUCGUUAGCCGAAUAUUCGUAUCCGCGUGUACGAGACGUUUUCUUAGCUAUUUGGAAACCGACGUCCAGAUCUGUCUGUUAGAUAUGUUUUUAAACGCGGCUGGCCAACGUGAGCCGGUUACAAAAGAGAAACUUUGUGGACAAACGGCGCACACUUUCUUCUAUCGCGACCACGUAUUCCCGGUAUCAGGAUCUAGACUCGUCGAAUCACUAGACGGAAUUCUUCCAACCGUGGUGUCCAGUGACUAGACACAGAGGCUGAAUUUUUCGAGGGAUACAGAUUAGAUCGCAUUGGACCGAGAGAGGCAAGAAUUAGAGGACACAUUGGAGCGUGACCUAUUUGAUCCAUUCCAUCGGAGCGCACCAAGUGCAAUUCGGGUCGCUACGGUCGACCAAUGCACUCGACCCACUCGAGAUACGAACGAGCCAUGUCCGGUCCAUCUGCCACGAAUCCUUAAAUAAACGACCCGUGAAUCCAGCGGCCGUGUUAAAAAUAUUUCAAGUCCUUCUAGAAGUUCGUUUCUUCUAUGGAAAAGUUCACGAGAUGCCAAGGAUGGUUGGCUGCGGUGUCGGGUGGAAAGGUCAACGUUGAAAAGUUCACCUCUUCACAGAAAUCUCUCAAAUUAUUAAGAAAUUGAUUUCUACAAGUUUGUAAGCUUUAUGGCGCACGGAUUUGGAAAAAGGAUCUCAAAAGUUAAGGAAGAAUCAUAUCAUUCGAUUUCCAUUUCCUAAAACGAAUGUUCCUAAAAUUCUAUCGAGAAUAUCCGAAUCAAACGCAUUGCACAGGUUAAACCACGCAAUUUAAACAAAAAAUUAUCAAAAAUUUAAAAAAAUUUCACGACCAUAGACCGAGACCAACUAUAAGUAAUAUAUAUCUUUUUGAUUAAUUCAAUUUCCUUAAUUAAUCCCAAACUUAAAUCAUCAUCCUCUUUCAACCGUGUAUACGUACACAGUUUACCGCUAUCCUCGUUCUAAACCUACUUGCUCGCGUGCCGAUCGUUGCCUCGUAACAAGUCAGCCAAUCGUUCCCAAACGCAAAUUACCGAUCAGACCGGGAUUUAACCGAGAUUGAUACCGUUCUCUCUCUCUCUGGCCGGCCAAUUAAUUCCCAUCCAUUAAUGCCGUAAACGAUUUUCCAUUUAAUUGGGGCACCUGGACGCCCCCCGUGGCGGCGUCGAAAUUUUCAAACACCGAUUCAUCCAUCACCGGGCGCGGAAACGAGUGGGUCCAGCUUCGCUCUUUGCACUCGAGAGAAGACCGGAACGAGUCGUGUCCGGUCCCGAUGUAAUCCGUAAAUAGACGGAGAUGGUUGCCAAACCGGCGACCGGUGGAUUAUAGGCGAAGGGGGUACCGCGACAUCAACACGGA